rnacentral:rRNA from 1 species
UACGAGGGGGGCAAGCGUUGUUCGGAAUUACUGGGCGUAAAGGGUUCGUAGGCGGUGCGGUAAGUCGGAAGUGAAAUCUCUGGGCUUAACUCAGAGGCUGCUUUCGAAACUGCCGUGCUAGAGUGCGGGAGAGGCGAGUGGAAUUGCAGGUGUAGCGGUGAAAUGCGUAGAUAUCUGCAGGAACACCCGUGGCGAAGGCGGCUCGCUGGACCGCAACUGACGCUGAGGAACGAAAGCUAGGGGAGCAAACAGG